CCUACGGGAGGCAGCAGUGAGGAAUAUUGCACAAUGGGGGAAACCCUGAUGCAGCGACGCCGCGUGAGUGAAGAAGUAUUUCGGUAUGUAAAGCUCUAUCAGCAGGGAAGAAGCAAGACGGUACCUGACUAAGAAGCCCCGGCUAACUACGUGCCAGCAGCCGCGGUAAUACGUAGGGGGCAAGCGUUAUCCGGAUUUACUGGGUGUAAAGGGAGCGUAGACGGUAUGGCAAGUCUGAAGUGAAAGUCCAGGGCUUAACCCUGGGACUGCUUUGGAAACUGUUAGACUGGAGUGCUGGAGAGGUAAGUGGAAUUCCUAGUGUAGCGGUGAAAUGCGUAGAUAUUAGGAGGAACACCAGUGGCGAAGGCGGCUUACUGGACAGUAACUGACGUUGAGGCUCGAAAGCGUGGGGAGCAAACAGGAUUAGAUACCCGAGUAGUC
rnacentral:rRNA from 1 species